AAGUCGUAACAAGGUUUCCGUAGGUGAACCUGCGGAAGGAUCAUUAUUGAAACUUCUUUGGAAAUAAGUACUGUUGCUGGCCUUGUAAUUGAGGCAUGUGCACGUCUUAUUUCUAAUCUAUUCAUCCACCUGUGCACUUUUUGUAGGAGUUCUUUUGAGGUUGACUUGUUGCGUAGGCUGAAAGGCUUGUGCGAUGUUAACUUUAUUAAAAAAAAGGGCUUCUAUGUUCUUACAAACCUAUUGAAGCAUGUUUGGAAUGGCUAUUGGAAAAAGGGGGGACUUAAUUGGACCCUUUCAAAGCUAUACAACUUUUAGCAACGGAUCUCUUGGCUCUC
rnacentral:misc_RNA from 1 species